UACGUAGGGUGCAAGCGUUGUCCGGAAUUAUUGGGCGUAAAGAGCUCGUAGGCGGUCUGUCGCGUCGGCUGUGAAAACUCGGGGCUCAACUCCGAGCCUGCAGUCGAUACGGGCAGACUAGAGUGCGGUAGGGGAGACUGGAAUUCCUGGUGUAGCGGUGAAAUGCGCAGAUAUCAGGAGGAACACCGGUGGCGAAGGCGGGUCUCUGGGCCGUAACUGACGCUGAGGAGCGAAAGCGUGGGGAGCAAACAGG
rnacentral:rRNA from 1 species